AUUGAACGCUGGCGGCAGGCCUAACACAUGCAAGUCGAACGCGUGGCGGACGGGUGAGUAAUGUCUGGGAACCUGCCUGAUGGAGGGGGAUAACUACUGGAAACGGUAGCUAAUACCGCAUACCAUCAGAUGUGCCCAGAUGUGAUUAGCUUGUUGGUGGGGUAAUGGCUCACCAAUGCGACGAUCACUAGCUGGUAUGAGAGGAUGACCAGACAAAAUGGAACUGAGACACGGGCCAAACUCCGACGGGAGGCAGCGGUGGGGAUGAGUGGAAAAUGGGCGAAAGCCUGAGGACGCCAUGCCGGGUGUAUGAAGAGGGCCUGCGGGUUUGAAAGUACUUUCAGCGGGGAGGCGUUACCCGAAGAAGAAGGACCGGCUAACUCCGUGCCAGCAGCCGCGGUAAUUC
rnacentral:rRNA from 1 species